rnacentral:rRNA from 1 species
GACGAACGCUGGCGGCGUGCUUAACACAUGCAAGUCGAACGGAAAGGCCCUGCUUUUGUGGGGUGCUCGAGUGGCGAACGGGUGAGUAACACGUGAGUAACCUGCCCUUGACUUUGGGAUAACUUCAGGAAACUGGGGCUAAUACCGGAUAGGAGCUCCUGCUGCAUGGUGGGGGUUGGAAAGUUUCGGCGGUUGGGGCUGGACUCGCGGCUUAUCAGCUUGUUGGUGGGGUAGUGGCUUACCAAGGCUUUGACGGGUAGCCGGCCUGGGAGGGUGACCGGCCACAUUGGGCCUGCGAUACGGCCCAGAAUCCUACGGGAGGCAGCAGUGGGGAAUAUUGCACAAUGGGCGGAAGCCUGAUGCAGCAACGCCGCGUGCGGGAUGACGGCCUUCGGGUUGUAAACCGCUUUCGCCUGUGACGAAGCGUGAGUGACGGUAAUGGGUAAAGAAGCACCGGCUAACUACGUG